rnacentral:rRNA from 1 species
GACGAACGCUGGCGGCGUGUUUAACACAUGCAAGUCGAACGGAAAGGCCCUGCUUGCAGGGUACUCGAGUGGCGAACGGGUGAGUAACACGUGGGUGAUCUGCCCUGCACUUCGGGAUAAGCCUGGGAAACUGGGUCUAAUACCGGAUAGGAGCCAUUUUUAGUGUGAUGGUUGGAAAGUUUUUUCGGUGUAGGAUGAGCUCGCGGCCUAUCAGCUUGUUGGUGGGGUAAUGGCCUACCAAGGCGGCGACGGGUAGCCGGCCUGAGAGGGUGGACGGCCACAUUGGGACUGAGAUACGGCCCAGACUCCUACGGGAGGCAGCAGUGGGGAAUAUUGCACAAUGGGCGCAAGCCUGAUGCAGCGACGCCGCGUGGGGGAUGACGGCCUUCGGGUUGUAAACUCCUUUCGCUAGGGACGAAGCUUUUUGUGACGGUACCUAGAGAAGAAGCACCGGCUAACUACGUG